rnacentral:rRNA from 1 species
UACCCUAAGAAUAAGGUCCGGCUAACUUCGUGCCAGCAGCCGCGGUAAUACGAAGGGACCUAGCGUAGUUCGGAAUUACUGGGCGUAAAGCGCGCGUAGGCCGUUGAGUUAGUUAAUUGUGAAAUCCCAAAGCUUAACUUUGGAACUGCAAUUAAAACUGCUCGACUAGAGUUUGAUAGAGGAAAGCGGAAUACAUAGUGUAGAGGUGAAAUUCGUAGAUAUUAUGUAGAACACCAGUUGCGAAGGCGGCUUUCUGGAUCAACACUGACGCUGAGGCGCGAAAGUAUGGGUAGCAAAGAGGAUUAGAUACCCUCGUAGU